AGGACGAACGCUGGCGGCGUGCUUAACACAUGCAAGUCGAACGAGGUGCUUGCACCUAGUGGCGAACGGGUGAGUAACACGUGAGUAACCUGCCCUUGACUCUGGGAUAAGCGUUGGAAACGACGUCUAAUACCGGAUACGACCUCCGAAGGCAUCUUCUGGAGGUGGAAAGAAUUUCGGUCAAGGAUGGACUCGCGGCCUAUCAGCUAGUUGGUGAGGUAAUGGCCCACCAAGGCGACGACGGGUAGCCGGCCUGAGAGGGUGACCGGCCACACUGGGACUGAGACACGGCCCAGACUCCUACGGGAGGCAGCAGUGGGGAAUAUUGCACAAUGGGCGCAAGCCUGAUGCAGCAACGCCGCGUGAGGGACGACGGCCUUCGGGUUGUAAACCUCUUUAGUAGGGUAAGAAGCGAUGUGCUUGUCACAUCAUGACGGUACCUGCAGAAAAGCACCGGCUAACUACGUGCCAGCAGCCGCGGU
rnacentral:rRNA from 1 species